rnacentral:rRNA from 1 species
UACAGAGGGUGCGAGCGUUAAUCGGAAUUACUGGGCGUAAAGCGCGCGUAGGCGGUUUGUCGCGUCUGCUGUGAAAACCUAAGGCUCAACCUUGGGCUUGCAGUGGGUACGGGCAGACUAGAGUGCGGUAGGGGUGACUGGAAUUCCUGGUGUAGCGGUGGAAUGCGCAGAGAUCGGGAGGAACACCCGUAGCGAAGGCGGCACUCUGGGCCGGUACUGACGCUCAGGAGCGAAAGCGUGGGGAGCAAACAGG